AACACAAGAAUUCUUUAAUUGAUGUUAUUGGAGUGAAGAACCAAAAAUUAAUUUGUUCGAUAUACCUUGUAAGUUCAUUAACUUUUUAUUUUUCUUGUGAAAAUAUUAUCUUUUGGGGUUUGUUGGUAGGAGUUGUAGUUGAAAAGUGGUGAGUGGUUUUUGGGAUCAGUUUCUUUAUUUAUCAUGAGCAAAAAAAUACUAUGUUGUGGGAGGACAACAUGAUAUCAUAUUGAAUUUUUUUCAAUUCCCAUCCUCUUCCAUCGCUGCUACAAAUUUCUGAAAUAAGGCAAUGUGUAGAGGUUACUAAUUAUUUCUCCAUUUUUUUUAUGAAGAUGUUUAUAUUUAGGGGAUAUUGUUAUUCUUCCUUUGAUUCAUUCAGAGAUAAUUUAAUGUUUAUUUUGAUUAACUGCAAGCAAAUUAAUAGGUGUUAGAUCUUUCAACUGAUAAUUUAUGUGCUUGUCGAAUUUGUGUCUUAAUGAGUAUGUGUUCCUUUUACUUUUUGAGUAUAUGGUUACUCUCGUGUUAAUAGUCUAUGGAGAAUAUAACCUUUUUAGUUGACGGUUUAUUGUUCCGCCUCUUUCAUAUAGGAUUAUGAAGUUGGGAAAAGCUAAUUGCUUAUAUAAUUGCAGUAAUUAGUUUAAAUAUAGCUAAUUAAGCUUUUGCAAACUCUUAAGUCUAUUUCCAGCAUUGUUUGCUUAUUUAAUUGUCUUUGGAUUGAAAUUAUUGUGUAUUAGUUUGCCUAUAAUACAUGAGAAAGUUAUCCCCUUAACAAAAUUUGCACAACAUAGGCUGGACGUCACAUAAUUUACUAAACUUUGCAAAAGGUAUUAUGAAUACUAUUAUCAAUUCUCUGUUGUACUUUUACCAUUCUUUGAAAUCAUUUUUUCUUUGAAUAAGUUAUUAGGAUUUUCUCUGCUCUCGAACAACAUUUUACAUAGUUAUUUUUUAGAUUAUCAAUAUAAAUUUUAUAUUCUGUAUUCUAUCGUUUACGUGAGCUUCUGAAUUUAUGCCCGUUAACAAAUAUUAGUAUAAAAUGUAUGCAGGUUUUGUUCUUUUAUUAGGUGCUUAGGAUCUGAAUUCGUUUCUGCGCAUACAAACUUUAGAUGUGGGGAUGAAUUAAAUUUAAAAUUUUAGAAAGGCAUUAUGAAUUAUUUUUUAAGUAGAAUGAAAUAAACGAUCGAAGUUUGAAAAACAAGGUAGACCGUUGCAUCAGUUCUUGUAUUCAUUCUAUUAAACUUUCAUAAUUGCCUUUUAAUAAGCCAAGGGAGUAUGUCCAUUUGUAAUAAACAUGUAUGUAUAUGUUUGUAUGUGUGUAUAUACAUAACCUAAUGGUGGUCUAAAAAGUUGUCCAUUUUAUGGCAUUCUUUAUCUAAGAUAAUGUCUCUUCUCCGAUUUUUAUUUUUUUUUUUUUUUUUUAAAUUUUACUUAUGAAGUUCAUGCAACUUUUAAAUUUGUUGCCGUCAAAUCCAGAGUUAGUGUACAUUUUCUAAUGAUUUCCCUUUUAACUUAGUUGCUCCAGGGGAAACGAACUUAUUAUUUGCUUAAAUAAGUGCACAUUAUCUAAUUGUAAAAUUGAUAUAAAUAUACAAGUCAAUACUUUUUUACCACUAUUUUGUUUUUAUAAAAAAAGAUGAUAUAUUUUUAACAUGAAGUAAAAUACAUAUGUGAUACCAUGAAGGCAGAAAACACAAAUUGCACUAAUACCGAGUAAGGUUGUGAAAAUGCCAAAGAAGUGAAGACAACUGAUAUUAUGGAUGACUUACUUGUAGAUGCACAUGUAACUUCUUACAAAUAUUUUCAUAAUAUACGUGCCUUUUUAAUUAUGUGUAUACGUAUAUAAUCUAAUAUAUUGGUUGAUGUUAUAUAGCAUGCAUAUUAUAGGUGCAUUGUGAAGAUAACGUAAAUUACAAGUUCAUCAUAUGCUUCUUGCAAAAAGGGUACUGCAAGAGAGAGGGGAUGCAAUACAUAAUAGUGCAACUUGUGGCAAUUGUAACAUAUACAAUGUUGAUUAUAAAGGGAGGUAAGGUUCAUUGAAAAAUUCUUUUCAUGUUUCAUGGAAUAAAAGAGUUACUACUUUGUCUACAAUGUUUUAAAUAUUUCUUAAAGUUUGAAGUUAAUAAUAGAGAACGACUUAUCGGUUUCGUACAACUCACUUUAGAUAUGACAUAUGUUUUCAAACAGAUACUACAACCAUGGCA
rnacentral:lncRNA from 1 species